AGUCGCACCCCAACUAGAAUCUCUUAACCCUAAACCCUAAAUUAUCUUGGGCGAGAGUAGUACUAGGAUGGGUGACCCCUUGGGAAGUCCUCGCGUUGCAACCC
rnacentral:rRNA from 2 species